UACGUAUGGUGCAAGCGUUAUCCGGAUUUACUGGGCGUAAAGGGAGCGCAGGCGGCGCGCCAAGUCUGAUGUGAAACCCCGGGGCCCAACCCCGGGCAUGCAUUGGAAACUGGCGGGCUGGAGUGCCGGAGAGGUAAGCGGAAUUCCUAGUGUAGCGGUGAAAUGCGUAGAUAUUAGGAGGAACACCAGUGGCGAAGGCGGCUUACUGGACGGCAACUGACGCUGAGGCUCGAAAGCGUGGGGAGCAAACAGG
rnacentral:rRNA from 1 species